rnacentral:rRNA from 1 species
AUUGAACGCUGGCGGCAGGCCUAACACAUGCAAGUCGAGCGGCAGCGACUUAACUGAACCUUCGGGGAACGUUAAGGGCGGCGAGCGGCGGACGGGUGAGUAAUGCCUGGGAAUAUGCCCUGAUGUGGGGGAUAACUAUUGGAAACGAUAGCUAAUACCGCAUAAUCUCUUCGGAGCAAAGAGGGGGACCUUCGGGCCUCUCGCGUCAGGAUUAGCCCAGGUGGGAUUAGCUUGUUGGUGAGGUAAUGGCUCACCAAGGCAACGAUCCCUAGCUGGUCUGAGAGGAUGAUCAGCCACACUGGAACUGAGACACGGUCCAGACUCCUACGGGAGGCAGCAGUGGGGAAUAUUGCACAAUGGGGGAAACCCUGAUGCAGCCAUGCCGCGUGUGUGAAGAAGGCCUUCGGGUUGUAAAGCACUUUCAGUAGGGAGGAAGGUAGUGUAGUUAACACCUGCAUUAUUUGACGUUACCUACAGAAGAAGCACCGGCUAACUCCGUGCCAGCAGCCGCGGUAAUACGGAGGGUGCGAGCGUUAAUCGGAAUUACUGGGCGUAAAGCGCAUGCAGGCGGCCUGUUAAGUCAGAUGUGAAAGCCCGGGGCUUAACCUCGGAAUUGCAUUUGGAACUGGCAGGCUAGAGUCUUGUAGAGGGGGGUAGAAUUUCAGGUGUAGCGGUGAAAUGCGUAGAGAUCUGAAGGAAUACCAGUGGCGAAGCGGCCCCCUGGACAAAGACUGACGCUCAGAUGCGAAAGCGUGGGGAGCAAACAGG